AUCUUCAGGAAGGGUGGGCAGCAGGGUGGCAGGGCGGGACAGGAGGGACGAGGGAGACUCUUCAAGGUGGAAACAGGUAAGGACCUUGGGCUCCUCCUGUUCUCUGUGGGAUGUUCAGGGAGUGAAGAAACGUCAUUCAUUCAAUUAUCUGAGCACCUGCGGUGUAUAAGGCGCUGCCUACUGGGCGUGAGCAACAUGGUAAUCAAGACUGGCAGUUCCUACCCCUUGGGGCAAGAGAGGCAAUCAUAAACCAAAGAUUAAAAAAACCUUCAAUGUGAUUAAAAUAACAAUGACAAUAGCAAAACAACAGGUCUGAGUAAAUCCUGCUGGCAGCUUCUGGGCUUGUAGACCACAAAGUGGAUCUUAGAGCAAAGUCCAACUCAGGAUUGAGGCAAGUCUCAGCAGAGUGGAUGUAGAUGCUGCACAGCCAAGAGAAGUCUCCAGAGGCGGUAGGUGGCUGGGUUCUAGCUGCUUUUUUUUCUUCUCGAACUUUCUCCCCCACUUCCCGCAACAGACCUGACACCCAGCGUGAAGAUGGUCAAUGAUCGCUGCUCACAACACCUGUCCCUCAGCUGAUGAGGCCAGGCAUCGGCACAUGACCAAAGCUGACCCAUCACAGUAGCCCACUUCUGCACUGGGCCACAGUGAUUGGUUCAGGAGGGGUCAUGUGGCCCAAGCAGGCCCAAUCCAGGAAUGUCCUAACUGGAGCUGGUGGGAAGGUUUCUUCUCCCCUCUUCUCCAGCAUCCAGAGCUAGCUGUGGCUCCAGAGAGUGAGAUCUCUAAGCAGAGGGAGGGAGACACCAGGGACGGGGUGGGGUAGGGGAACAGGAGAGAGACCCACCAGGCAGUCAGACCCCAGAGCCUUCCAGGCCCCAGAUCCAAGCACAGCUUGGCCUUUCCCUUUCUCGGUCUCAGCCACCAGAGUAAUGAGGCCCCCCAUCCCAACCCUUUUAUAUCAAUGGGAUCAACUCAGGUUCCUGUGCAGCCCAGAGCCUCCCAACUCAGGAUUUUGGUGUUAAAACGUAUAUACAUUUUGGCAUGUAUCCAAGUACGUUUAUAGGCUACCUUCCUAGAAGUGGAGUUUCAUGGGCAGAGGAUAUAUGCCUUUUUAAUUUCUGUAGCUAUUUCCCAGUGCAGAAAGUAUCAUCCAUUCAUGCCCAUCGACAACGCACGUGUGAGGGUGCCUAUUUCCAGCACCCUCACCCACCCUUGCAAGAAUGCAGUGUGUCGGGGAAGCAGAUCCCAAAUGAGUUGCAGAUAAACCUGCCAAUAAUUUUAGCAAAUGAAAUGUGGAACGCGUAAAGGCCAGAGGAUGGAAAACGCUCCAGUUUUGAUGAAAGAAGGUCUGCUCAGCUUGGAAUACUUCCUCCUGCUAGCCAGGAGAUGCAAAGAUAUAUCCAGAGAGGAGCUGAUGAAUUGAGGGAAAAGAAAUGAGGCCAAUGUGAGUCGCCUUUCAAGAGCUGUGCUAAUAUAAAACCAAACAACUUGAAAUUGUUCCAAGAGGGGAUUAAAGCAACAUGUUAUUUUGA